UACACACCAAGCAGCAGAGAAUCUAAAAAAUAUAAAAGCUAAAAGCCAAAACAUCACAGCAUGCAGAGGAUAUUCCUGUCCCUCCUUAUCUCUUCUUGGCUCUGUGGGGCCAGGAUCUGCUCAUUCUCAUCCUGCUGUCUGCAGCCACAGAGUGCCUUCACUUAGGUGCCUUUUGUUACCUCUGUGUGGAUGAGGAAGAAAUGUUUCUUGGGCUUUCAGCUUUCUCCUGAUACAGUAGCUAAAAUUUGAAGUGCUUGUCUCUGUUAUCUCUUCUUCCAGUGUUCUCUGCUUUUAGGAGUU